rnacentral:misc_RNA from 1 species
AAGUCGUAACAAGGUAACCGUAGGUGAACCUGCGGUUGGAUCAUUAAAUUGAAAAAGAGAGAGAAGAAAUUCUCUUGAUUUUAAACAUUUAGAGAUAAUUGAAUGUUUUUUUGUGGAGAGAAGAAGAGAUUCUUUUUUUCCACAAAUUUAAAUAAACCAUUUUUAUUAUUUAUUAUUAUAAAAUAAAAAAAAACAACUUUUGACAACGGAUCUCUUGGCUCUCGUAACG